ACCUUUAAAACGACAAAUAUUCUGAGAGCCCACAUGUUCACGCACACCGAUCAGAAGGACUUUAAGUGUGAAAUAUGCCAGACUGCUUUUAGGACCAAGGGUUCGUUGAUCCGACACAAUCGUCGGCACACAGAUGAGCGUCCGUACCGCUGCAAUCAGUGUGGCCUGGCGUUCAGAGAGUCCGGAGCUCUAACCAGACAUCUGAAGUCUCUUACGCCUUGCACUGAGAAGAUUCACUACAGUCAGUGUAAAGAGAUACUUGUCUGCAAGGAUGGAGU